GUGUAGAUAAACCAGUGUUUUGUGUGACUGAAUUCAUUCUUCACUCUCACUGGGUGCGAUUUCUUCCUGUUUUCCAGAAGCAUGACAGCUAGAAGUGGCAAUGACUUCCAGCUUGUUAUCCCUGAAAAAGGUGAAAGAGUUAAGAUUAAUCAUGGACCUGCUCUUGUUGUUUCGUGCCACUUGUCUCCUGCAAUCAGUGCUGCUGACAUGGACAUUACCUGGUAUAGCGAGACAUCUGUUGUGUGCGCUUAUAAGAAUCGAGAGGUGACACAGGGAGUUGGCUAUGAAGGAAGAGCCAAUCUGUUCAUCCAUGAUCUGGUGAGAGGGAAUGUGUCCUUACGAGUGGCAAACUUUACAGAGUCUGAUCUGGGAGUUUACAUGUGCCAGGUCACCAGUCAAAAUAAAACACAGCAGAUAACUGUCAAUGUAACAGAAGAAGAAUCUGCCAUUUUCAAGGAUCAGCACUUAUUCACAGUGGUAAGACA
ensembl:processed_transcript